UACGUAGGGACCAAGCGUUGUUCGGAUUUACUGGGCGUAAAGGGCGCGUAGGCGGCGUGUCAAGUCAAUUGUGAAAUCUCCGGGCUUAACUCGGAACGGUCAAUUGAUACUGAUGUGCUAGAGUGCAGAAGGGGCAAUCGGAAUUCUUGGUGUAGCGGUGAAAUGCGUAGAUAUCAGGAGGAACACCGGUGGCGAAGGCGGGACUCUGGGCCGAUACUGACGCUGAGGAGCGAAAGCGUGGGGAGCGAACAGG
rnacentral:rRNA from 1 species